UGGUCCAUCGAGCCUGUUCUGAAGAACAAUCACCUCGAAUACAUGACACCAGCCGUACGCCAGAAGUGGCAGGCGCUGGAGGAUGAGCCCUGUCCCUUUGAAGUGACGCCCUCCCAAGGAACCCUUGAUCCAGGAUGCUGGCAGAACUUAGAAAUCCACUUUACACCCAAGGAGGAGAGGUCUUACAAGAAUGAGCUGAAGCUUAACAUCUGUGGGAGCAGCAAUCACUUAAAGCUGCACCUCUCAGGACAAGGUCUGGAGCCACGGCUGGAGUUCAGC